rnacentral:tRNA from 3 species
CGGGAUAUGGCGCAGUUUGGUAGCGCGGCGCGUUUGGGGCGCGAUGGACGGGGGUUCAAAUCCCUCUAUCCCGAC